rnacentral:rRNA from 1 species
CCUACGUGAGACAGCAGUGAGGAAUCUUGGUCAAUGGACGCAAGUCUGAACCAGCCAAGUAGCGUGAAGGAUGACUGCCCUAUGGGUUGUAAACUUCUUUUAUAAAUGAAUAAAACGAGGCACGUGUGCCUUUUUGCAUGUACUUUAUGAUUACGGAUCGGCUAACUACGUGCCAGCAUCCGAGGUAAUACGGAGGAUCCGAGCGGUAUCCUUCUUUAUUGGGUUUACAGGGAGUGUAAAUGGGUUGUUAAGUCAGUUGUGAAAGUUUGCGGUUCAACCGUAAAAUUGCAAUUGAUACUGGCAGUCUGGAGUACAGUUGAGGUAGGCGGAAUUCGUGGUGUAGCGGUGAAAUGCUUAGAUAUCACGAAGAACCCCGAUUGCGAAGGCAGCUUACUAAACUGUGACUGACAUUGAUGCUCGAAAGUGUGGGUAUCAAACAGGAUUAGAUACCCCUGUAGUC